rnacentral:lncRNA from 1 species
ACCAAUACCCUAUUGAAUUAUUAGAUGCGCUACUCCGAUGAUGACCGUGUGAUAUUGGGCACACACCGCCGUGUCCUCCUCCAAGGCCACGGCCACGACCACCACUAGACCUUCCUCCGCUGCCGGAGCUCCGACCACCACCGCCGCCACCGUCUUUUCCGGCGGUGGCGGGGAGGGAUGAUGUUAGGAGGAGAUAAAUGAUUGAAAGGAAUAGGAUAAGUUUGUAAAAGUUGUUCAUUAGAAUAUCAAAAGUU